UGUAUAAUGGGUCAGCGACUUAUAUUCUGUAGCAAGGUUAACCGAAUAGGGGAGCCGAAGGGAAACCGAGUCUUAACUGGGCGUUAAGUUGCAGGGUAUAGACCCGAAACCCGGUGAUCUAGCCAUGGGCAGGUUGAAGGUUGGGUAACACUAACUGGAGGACCGAACCGACUAAUGUUGAAAAAUUAGCGGAUGACUUGUGGCUGGGGGUGAAAGGCCAAUCAAACCGGGAGAUAGCUGGUUCUCCCCGAAAGCUAUUUAGGUAGCGCCUCGUGAAUUCAUCUCCGGGGGUAGAGCACUGUUUCGGCAAGGGGGUCAUCCCGACUUACCAACCCGAUGCAAACUGCGAAUACCGGAGAAUGUUAUCACGGGAGACACACGGCGGGUGCUAACGUCCGUCGUGAAGAGGGAAACAACCCAGACCGCCAGCUAAGGUCCCAAAGUCAUGGUUAAGUGGGAAACGAUGUGGGAAGGCCCAGACAGCCAGGAUGUUGGCUUAGAAGCAGCCAUCAUUUAAAGAAAGCGUAAUAGCUCACUGGUCGAGUCGGCCUGCGCGGAAGAUGUAACGGGGCUAAACCAUGCACCGAAGCUGCGGCAGCGACGCUUAUGCGUUGUUGGGUAGGGGAGCGUUCUGUAAGCCUGCGAAGGUGUACUGUGAGGUAUGCUGGAGGUAUCAGAAGUGCGAAUGCUGACAUAAGUAACGAUAAAGCGGGUGAAAAGCCCGCUCGCCGGAAGACCAAGGGUUCCUGUCCAACGUUAAUCGGGGCAGGGUGAGUCGACCCCUAAGGCGAGGCCGAAAGGCGUAGUCGAUGGGAAACAGGUUAAUAUUCCUGUACUUGGUGUUACUGCGAAGGGGGGACGGAGAAGGCUAUGUUGGCCGGGCGACGGUUGUCCCGGUUUAAGCGUGUAGGCUGAUUUUCCAGGUAAAUCCGGAAAAUCAAGGCUGAGGCGUGAUGACGAGGCACUACGGUGCUGAAGCAACAAAUGCCCUGCUUCCAGGAAAAGCCUCUAAGCAUCAGGUAACAUCAAAUCGUACCCCAAACCGACACAGGUGGUCAGGUAGAGAAUACCAAGGCGCUUGAGAGAACUCGGGUGAAGGAACUAGGCAAAAUGGUGCCGUAACUUCGGGAGAAGGCACGCUGAUACGUAGGUGAAGUCCCUUGCGGAUGGAGCUGAAAUCAGUCGAAGAUACCAGCUGGCUGCAACUGUUUAUUAAAAACACAGCACUGUGCAAACACGAAAGUGGACGUAUACGGUGUGACGCCUGCCCGGUGCCGGAAGGUUAAUUGAUGGGGUUAGCGGUAACGCGAAGCUCUUGAUCGAAGCCCCGGUAAACGGCGGCCGUAACUAUAACGGUCCUAAGGUAGCGAAAUUCCUUGUCGGGUAAGUUCCGACCUGCACGAAUGGCGUAAUGAUGGCCAGGCUGUCUCCACCCGAGACUCAGUGAAAUUGAACUCGCUGUGAAGAUGCAGUGUACCCGCGGCAAGACGGAAAGACCCCGUGAACCUUUACUAUAGCUUGACACUGAACAUUGAGCCUUGAUGUGUAGGAUAGGUGGGAGGCUUUGAAGUGUGGACGCCAGUCUGCAUGGAGCCGACCUUGAAAUACCACCCUUUAAUGUUUGAUGUUCUAACGUUGGCCCCUAAUCGGGGUUGCGGACAGUGUCUGGUGGGUAGUUUGACUGGGGCGGUCUCCUCCUAAAGAGUAACGGAGGAGCACGAAGGUUGGCUAAUCCUGGUCGGACAUCAGGAGGUUAGUGCAAUGGCAUAAGCCAGCUUGACUGCGAGCGUGACGGCGCGAGCAGGUGCGAAAGCAGGUCAUAGUGAUCCGGUGGUUCUGAAUGGAAGGGCCAUCGCUCAACGGAUAAAAGGUACUCCGGGGAUAACAGGCUGAUACCGCCCAAGAGUUCAUAUCGACGGCGGUGUUUGGCACCUCGAUGUCGGCUCAUCACAUCCUGGGGCUGAAGUAGGUCCCAAGGGUAUGGCUGUUCGCCAUUUAAAGUGGUACGCGAGCUGGGUUUAGAACGUCGUGAGACAGUUCGGUCCCUAUCUGCCGUGGGCGCUGGAGAACUGAGGGGGGCUGCUCCUAGUACGAGAGGACCGGAGUGGACGCAUCACUGGUGUUCGGGUUGUCAUGCCAAUGGCACUGCCCGGUAGCUAAAUGCGGAAGAGAUAAGUGCUGAAAGCAUCUAAGCACGAAACUUGCCCCGAGAUGAGUUCUCCCUGACUCCUUGAGAGUCCUGAAGGAACGUUGAAGACGACGACGUUGAUAGGCCGGGUGUGUAAGCGCAGCGAUGCGUUGAGCUAACCGGUACUAAUGAACCGUGAGGCUUAACCUU
rnacentral:rRNA from 1 species